UACGUAGGGCGCAAGCGUUGUCCGGAAUUAUUGGGCGUAAAGAGCUCGUAGGCGGCUUGUCACGUCGAUUGUGAAAGCCCGAGGCUUAACCUCGGGUCUGCAGUCGAUACGGGGCUAGCUAGAGUGUGGUAGGGGGAGAUCGAAUUCCUGGUGUAGCGGUGAAAAUGCGCAGAUAUCAGGAGGAACACCGGUGGCGAAAAGCGACUCUCUGGACGGCAACUGACGCUAGGCACGAAAGCUGGGGGAGCAAAACAGGG
rnacentral:rRNA from 1 species